AACGAACGCUGGCGGCAUGCCUAACACAUGCAAGUCGAACGAGACCUCCGGGCCUAGUGGCGCUCGGGUGCGUAACGCGUGGGAAGCUGCCCUUAGGUUCGGAAUAAUUCUCUGUAAGGGGUGCUAAUAUAGGAUAAUGUCUUCGGACAAAAGAUUUAUCGCGUUUGUAUGGGCACGCGUUGGUUUGGCUAGUUGGUAGGGUAAAAGCCUAUCAAGGCGUCGAUCCAUAGCUGGUCAGAGAGGAAGAUCAGCCACACUUGGGCUAAGACACGGCCCAGACUCCUACGGAAGGGAGGAGAGGAGAAUAUAGGAAGACGGACUAAGGCCUGAACCAGCAAUGCCGGGUAAGUGCUGAAGGCGUUAGAGUAGUAAAGCUCUUUUACCCGCGGUGAUAAUGACGGUACCGGGAGAAUAAGCACCGGCUAACUCCGUG
rnacentral:rRNA from 1 species